UUGAACGUGCUCAGCCAUUUCAGAAACAACCUUCCAGGCUUCUUUCUUCGAGUUUGCAGCUGAGAACGAAAACAAGAGACUCUUCUCUUGGUGGGAACCAACAGAAACAUUGGGAUUAGAAACUCAUUUCAUAUUUUCAGCCCUCAUCCAGCGCCAGCUGGAAGCCAAAGAACCCGGUGAACAGUGAACAGAGGUCCCAGUGAGCAGCUGGAGUCUCCCUUCUGCCUGGACCCCUGUGGCUGUGGCAGCUUGAUCCAAACCCCUUGGAGACCACGGACAGUUUUACAAACUAAAUUAAUCUACAGUUUCUCACCAGCUGUGCCAGCAGAUGCAGAGCAGCUCACAAGGGAAGUCAACUCAGUUCUUGCUGGUAUUAUCUGAGUUAUCAAGGGACAAAAGCAAAGAUUGCCCAAUUCAAGGGACAGAAACAACUCAAGAACGAGCUUGUAAACACUUUUUGAGAAGGCCUUGUUGCUACUUUAAGGAAAUCCUUGUAGGAACAUUAUUUGCCUCUGGCUCAGGAAGAGGGAACACCUGCCAGGGAAUCUGCUCCUGCAGAAAUUCCAGUGACACUGUGUGAGGCAGCAAGGGAGGGGGGGAAUUUAAGAGCCACAACAAAAGAGAACAACAGAAUAAUAGGAGCAGUAUAUCAAUGACUUCAACCCCAGUUAUUUCUCUCUUGUAGAAAAGAAAUUAUAUGUCCUGUUGCAGCAGUGACUCCAAAGUAACCCCAGCACGGCUCUGGGGCUGUUCAUGGAGACAGGCUGGAAGAACAACCUAUUUCUGUUAUCUCCCCACACCCCCAGCACACAAUGCAUCCUGCAGGCCA